UGCAGCCAGGGAGAACGAUGUCCUGCAGUGUGUGGGUUAGUGCCACACAACGAAGAAUUAUUCUGUACCCUGUACGACUGUCUAAUGUCCUGCUGGACAUUUAGGUAGGACCUACAGCUUGUCCGAGAGAGUAACUCAUUUGUUUUCUCUGAGACAAUCUGUAAUUUGUCUUGUCCUAUUAUCCUUAAGUAAUUCUGACGCUGUAUUCAUCGGUUCUAACUAAUCACGCAGGCUUUGUCUUCAGUAUAUUCAAUCACAUAUUGUGGGUAUUAGAGAUGGGGGUUUCACCAUGUUGGUCAGGCUGGUCUCGAACUCCUGACCUCAGGUGAUUCACGCACCUGCAGGUUUGUUACAUAUGUAUACAUGUGCCAUGUUGGUGUGCUGCACCCAUUAACUCGUCACGUAGCAUUAGGUAUAUCUCCUAAUGCUAUCC
rnacentral:lncRNA from 1 species